rnacentral:ncRNA from 1 species
AGUAAUCUGCCACCGGGUAGAAGCGAAAGCAUUCGCCGCACAUCGUUAGGUCAUUGAAGAUGUGCUUGCGAAUGCUUGUUUUUUG